rnacentral:rRNA from 1 species
CGUGAGCAAUCUGCCUUGGAGUGGGGAAUAACGGUUGGAAACAGCCGCUAAUACCGCAUGACGCGUCUGGGAGGCAUCUCUCUGGACGCCAAAGAUUUAUCGCUCUGAGAUGAGCUCGCGUCUGAUUAGCUAGUUGGCGGGGCAACGGCCCACCAAGGCGACGAUCAGUAGCCGGACUGAGAGGUUGGCCGGCCACAUUGGGACUGAGACACGGCCCAGACUCCUACGGAAGGCAGCAG